rnacentral:rRNA from 1 species
UACGGAAGGCAGCAGUGGGGAAUAUUGCACAAUGGGCGCAAGCCUGAUGCAGCCAUGCCGCGUGUAUGAAGAAGGCCUUCGGGUUGUAAAGUACUUUCAGUCGUGAGGAAGGUGUUAAGGUUAAUAACCUUAGCAAUUGACGUUAGCGACAGAAGAAGCACCGGCUAACUCCGUGCCAGCAGCCGCGGUAAUACGGAGGGUGCGAGCGUUAAUCGGAAUUACUGGGCGUAAAGGGCACGCAGGCGGUUAAUUAAGUUGGAUGUGAAAUCCCCGGGCUUAACCUGGGAAUGGCAUUCAAGACUGGUUAGCUAGAGUCUUGUAGAGGGGGGUUAGAAUUCCAUGUGUAGCGGUGAAAUGCGUAGAGAUGUGGAGGAAUACCGGUGGCGAAGGCGGCCCCUGGACAAAGACUGACGCUCAUGUGCGAAAGCGUGGGGAGCAAACAGGGAUUAGAUACC